CCUACGGGGUGCAGCAGUAGGGAAUUUUCGUCAAUGGGCGCAAGCCUGAACGAGCAAUGCCGCGUGAACGAGGAAGGUCUUCGGAUCGUAAAGUUCUGUUGAAGGGGAAAAAGAGCGGAGAGAGGAAAUGGUCUCCGAUUGAUAUUACCCUUCGAGGAAGUCACGGCUAACUACGUGCCAGCAGCCGCGGUAAUACGUAGGUAGCGAGCGUUAUCCGGAAUGAUGGGGCGUAAAGGGUGCGUAGGCGGCCUGCUAAGUCUGGAGUGAAAGGUACCGGCUCAACCGGUACAGGCUCUGGAAACUGGCGGGCUAGAGAGCAGUAGAGGGCGGUGGAACUCCAGGUGUAGCGGUAAAAUGCGUAGAUAUAUGGAAGAAGACCAGUGGCGAAGGCGGCCGCCUGGCCUGUGACUGACGCUGAGGCACGAAAGCGUGGGGAGCAAAUAGGAUUAGAUACCCUUGUAGUC
rnacentral:rRNA from 1 species